GAGUUUGAUCAUGGCUCAGGAUGAACGCUAGCGAUAGGCUUAACACAUGCAAGUCGAGGGGCAGCACGAGAUUAGCUUGCUAAUUUUGGUGGCGACCGGCGUAAGGGUGCGUAACGCGUAUGCAACUUGCCUGUCAGUGGGGAAUAACCCGGAGAAAUCCGGACUAAUACCGCAUACACUUUGGUUUCCGCAUGGGGACUUUAGGAAAGAUUUAUUGCUGACAGAUAGGCAUGCGUUCCAUUAGACAGUUGGUGAGGUAACGGCUCACCAAGUCAACGAUGGAUAGGGGAGCUGAGAGGCUUAUCCCCCACACUGGAACUGAGACACGGUCCAGACUCCCACGGGAGGCAGCAGUGAGGAAUAUUGGUCAAUGGGCGAGAGCCUGAACCAGCCAAGUCGCGUGAAGGAAGACGGUCCUAUGGAUUGUAAACUUCUUUAGUAGGUGAGUAACAAAGCAAGUUAUCCGUGUAAGCUGU
rnacentral:rRNA from 1 species